rnacentral:rRNA from 1 species
GGCGGUAUUUUAGUCUAUUUAGAGGAACCUGUUCUGUAAUUGAUACCCCACGAUUAAAUUUACUUAUUUUUAUAUUUACAUAUCGCUGUAGAUUGAAUAUUUUUAUAGAAUAAAUCAAUAUUCAAGAUUUUUUGAGAAAAAAAUUCAAGUCAAGGUGUAGUUUAUAGAUAAGAAGAAAUGGGUUACAAUAAAUUUAUUUAAGCGGAUUUAAUUUGGUAUUAAAAUUUUUGAAGUUGGAUUUAAAAGUAAUAAUUAUAAAUAUUUGUAGUAUGAUUUAAGCUCUAAAAUAUGUACAUAUUGCCCGUCGCUUUCAUUCUAAGGUGAAAUAAGUCGUAACAAAGUAGGUGUACUGGAAGGUGCCCCUGGAAAAUUUCAGAUUAAAGCUUUUAUUAAAGCAUUUUAGUUACAUUAAAAAGAAUACUUUUAGUAGUAUAAUUUGAAAAAUUGAUUUUUAUUAUAAUAAUUGAAUUGUAUUUUUAAUUAAAAAAAAUAAUUUAAAUUUUAUUAAAAAUUAUGAAUAAAUUAAUUUAAUGAUAGAGUAUUAGUAUUGAAAAAGAAUAUUGUUAUUUUAUGAUAAGAAUAAUUUAUUUUUAGUACCUUGUGUACCAGGGUUUAUUAAAAAAAAUUUAUUAAAUUAAAUUUCUCGAAUUUAAAAGAGCUAUAUUUAUAUAAUUAUUAUUGUAGAAUAAAUAUUAUUCAUAUUAAUAUAGAAGUGAAACAUUAUUCGAUUUUAAAUAUAUCUAGUUUUUAAAGAAAAAAAUUUAAUUUUAUUUUUAUUUAAUUAUUAAUUUAUUUUUUUAAAUUAAUAUUUAGUAAAAUUUUAUAUUUUAGGGGAUGAGCUUUAAAAUAAAUUUAUAUAAGUUUUUAUUUUAAUAUUUAAUAAGUAGGAUUAUAAGUUUUUAUCUUUAUUAGUGUUUUAUAACUAGUUAAAUUUUAAUUAUUAUUUUUAUAUUAAUUUUAUGUGAUUUAUUUAAAUAUAAGUUUAAAUAUAAAAAAUUUAGUAAUAAUGAUAAAAUUAGUAUAUUGAAAUUGUAUUAUAAAUUUAGGUAUAUUAGGUUUUAUAAAGGAACUCGGCAAAUUAUUAUUUUUCACCUGUUUAUCAAAAACAUGGCCUUUUGUUAAUAAUUUAAGGUCUAACCUGCUCAAUGAAUUUUAAAUGGCCGCAGUAUCCUAACUGUGCAAAGGUAGCAUAAUCAUUAGUUUCUUAAUUAGAAGCUGGAAUGAAAGGUUGAAUGAAAAAAUAACUGUCUCUAUAAAAAUUUUAUAGAAAUUUAUUUUUAAGUUAAAAAGCUUAAAUUUUAAUAAAAGACAAGAAGACCCUAUAGAGUUUAAUAUUUGUGUAUAAUUUUUUUUUUUAGUAUUUUA